CGGAGAGUUGGCCGAGCGGUUUAAGGCAGAAGUCUUGAAAACUUCCGUAGGGGAAACCCUACCGUGGGUUCGAAUCCCACACUCUCCGU
rnacentral:tRNA from 1 species